AUUGAACGCUGGCGGCAUGCCUUACACAUGCAAGUCGAACGGUAACAGGUCUUCGGAUGCUGACGAGUGGCGAACGGGUGAGUAAUACAUCGGAACGUGCCCGAUCGUGGGGGAUAACGCAGCGAAAGCUGUGCUAAUACCGCAUACGAUCUACGGAUGAAAGCGGGGGAUCGCAAGACCUCGCGCGGACGGAGCGGCCGAUGGCAGAUUAGGUAGUUGGUGGGAUAAAAGCUUACCAAGCCGACGAUCUGUAGCUGGUCUGAGAGGACGACCAGCCACACUGGGACUGAGACACGGCCCAGACUCCUACGGGAGGCAGCAGUGGGGAAUUUUGGACAAUGGGCGCAAGCCUGAUCCAGCCAUGCCGCGUGCAGGAUGAAGGCCUUCGGGUUGUAAACUGCUUUUGUACGGAACGAAAAGCUCUCUCUAAUACAGGGGUGAAUGACGGUACCGUAAGAAUAAGCACCGGCUAACUACGUGCCAGCAGACC
rnacentral:rRNA from 1 species